rnacentral:lncRNA from 1 species
AUGGAUAGUUGGCUUUAAGAACUGGCAUGGACACAUGCCAAGAACUCUGAAGAGGGAUUCUAGAAGCUAUAAAAAGAAGAAAGGAAAAGAAGGUUUUUGAACUGACAAUUGCUACCUGGCAUCUGGGGGUAUCUGGGUCCUGGUCUUGUUCAAGCUAAGGGAAGGAGAACUGCUUCUGAGAGCUUUUCUGACCGCAAGCCUUUGGUGAACAAAGGACAAUGCUUCAACCAUUCCCUGAAAUUCCUGGUCAGCAGGGGAGCAGUCUUGGAGAAGAUCUGGUUAUCCCUACUAUCUUAAGAUAUGCGGCAAGGUGAUCUCCAAGUGGGAUAUUGGAGGGCGUUAUAUAGAGGAAUAAAAGGAGAGAAGAUUUGGAUGUCA